CGGGAAGUGGCUUAAUCUGGUUAAAGCACUCGGUUUGGGACCGAGAGAUUGCAAGUUCAAAUCUUGUCUUCCCGA